rnacentral:tRNA from 1 species
CUCGGCUUCGGCGGGGGCGUCGGCCGCGGUCAGGCCGCGGGCAUCGGCUUCGGCGGCGAUCAGUCGUUCGGUCACGAUCAGCUGGGUC